CUAGACUGUAUAUUGCUUAAGGGACGUAGAUGACUAGAGUUUAAUGUAAAAGAAUGACCAAUUGAAGUAAAGAUAAAAUGUGGUAAUCUCAAUUAGACAGGUAAUGGCAAAGGCUAUUCUUUAUGUAAAAACUGACGUUGAGGGACGAAGGCAACGUGUUACGAAGAGGAUUAGAGACCCUCCUAGUCUUUGCAGACAAUUAUGAGUGUUAUAUAUAAAUGAAAGUGUAAGCACUCCACCUCAAGAGUAAUGUGGCAACACAGGAACUGAAAUCAUUAGACCGUUUCUGAAACCAGUAGUGAAGUAUGUUAUUUAAUUCGAUGACCCUCGAAUAACCUUACCACACAAGCGUUGCACGGCUGUCUUCAGUUAAUGUUGUGAAAGUUGGUUAGAUCCAGUUAAUUAGCGUAAACCC
rnacentral:rRNA from 1 species